UACGUAGGGGGCGAGCGUUGUCCGGAUUUAUUGGGCGUAAAGAGCUCGUAGGCGGUUCGAUAAGUCGGACGUGAAAUCUCCACGCUCAACGUGGAGGGGCCGUUCGAUACUGUCGUGACUCGAGUCCGGUAGGGGAGUGUGGAAUUCCCGGUGUAGCGGUGAAAUGCGCAGAGAUCGGGAGGAACACCCGUAGCGAAGGCGGCACUCUGGGCCGGUACUGACGCUGAGGAGCGAAAGCGUGGGGAGCAAACAGA
rnacentral:rRNA from 1 species